rnacentral:rRNA from 1 species
UACGUAGGGCGCAAGCGUUGUCCGGAAUUAUUGGGCGUAAAGAGCUCGUAGGCGGCUUGUCACGUCGGGUGUGAAAGCCCGGGGCUUAACCCCGGGUCUGCAUUCGAUACGGGCUAGCUAGAGUGUGGUAGGGGAGAUCGGAAUUCCUGGUGGUAGCGGUGAAAAUGCGCAGAUAUCAGGAGGAACACCGGUGGCGAAGGCGGAUCUCUGGGCCAUUACUGACGCUGAGGAGCGAAAGCGUGGGGAGCGAACAGG